GGACAGGGGACACCGUCAGGCCCCGUUGUCAUUGGGAAAUGCCAAUUCUCCCUUUCCACAGCAGCUCCCAGCAGGGAUUGUCAGGGGGGUGCAGAGCACAGGGAGCCUCCUCUCACCCCCCACCUCCAGCUCCAGGGCACACCUGAGAGUUUGGGAUUUAUCCCAGGUGUAAAUCCCACCUGAAACCUUGGGAUUUAUCCCAGGUGUAAAUCCCAGCUGAAACCUCAGGAUUUAUCCCAGGUGAGGGGUAAAUCACACCUGAGAGCCUGAAGUUUGUCCCAGGUGUAAAUCCCACCUGAGUACCAGGAUUUCUCCCAGGUGUAAAUCCCAGCUGAGAGCCCCAGGAUUUCUCCCAGGUGUAAAUCCCAGCUGAGAGCCCCAGGAUUUCUCCCAGGUGUAAAUCCCACCUGAGUCCCAGGAUUUCUCCCAGGUGUAAAUCCCAGCUGAGUCCCAGGAUUUCUCCCAGGUGUAAAUCCCAGCUGAGAGCCCCAGGAUUUCUCCCAGGUGUAAAUCCCACCUGAGAGCCCCAGGAUUCCUCCCAGGUGUAAAUCCCAGCUGAAGCCCCCGCUGCUCC